AUUGAACGCUGGCGGCAGGCCUAACACAUGCAAGUCGAGCGGAGCGGCGGACGGGUGAGUAAUGCCUAGGAAUCUGCCUGGCAGUGGGGGAUAACGUCCGGAAACGGGCGCUAAUACCGCAUACUAUCAGAUGAGCCUAGGUCGGAUUAGCUAGUUGGUGGGGUAAAGGCAUACCAAGGCGACGAUCCGUAAAUGGUCUGAGAGGAUGAUCAGUCAACCUGGACCUGAGACAUGGUCAAGACUCCUACGGGAGGCAGCAGUGGGGAAUAUUGCACAAUGGGCGCAAACCUAAUACAGCCAUACCGCGUGUAUGAAGAAGGCCUUCGGGUUGUAAAGUACUUUCAGCGGGGAGGCGUUACCCGCAGAAGAAGCACCAUCUAACUCCGUGCCAGCAGCCGCGGUAAUAC
rnacentral:rRNA from 1 species